rnacentral:lncRNA from 1 species
AGCACUACAAUUCUUGAUCAUACUAGAUCAGUCUAUUACAUCAUGUAUUAUCAACCUCAGUAAGCUUCUAAAUUUCCUUGCUUUCGCACAAGAAAGGUUUGAACAAUUCUUUCUCAAACUAUUCCGACAAAUAGACUUGAGACUAAAAUACAAUUUUUAUGAUGAAAGGUUUUGUGUUGGAUCCAAUUUUCUCAACACUUAUUUGAGAUUAUGAUGAAACAUAC